rnacentral:rRNA from 1 species
AGGGUUCGAUUCUGGCUCAGGAUGAACGCUGGCGGCGUGCUUAACACAUGCAAGUCGAACGGGAUCCAUCAGGCUUUGCUUGGUGGUGAGAGUGGCGAACGGGUGAGUAAUGCGUGACCGACCUGCCCCAUGCACCGGAAUAGCUCCUGGAAACGGGUGGUAAUGCCGGAUGCUCCAUCACAUCGCAUGGUGUGUUGGGAAAGCCUUUGCGGCAUGGGAUGGGGUCGCGUCCUAUCAGCUUGAUGGCGGGGUAACGGCCCACCAUGGCUUCGACGGGUAGCCGGCCUGAGAGGGCGACCGGCCACAUUGGGACUGAGAUACGGCCCAGACUCCUACGGGAGGCAGCAGUGGGGAAUAUUGCACAAUGGGCGCAAGCCUGAUGCAGCGACGCCGCGUGAGGGAUGGAGGCCUUCGGGUUGUAAACCUCUUUUGUUAGGGAGCAAGGCACUUUGUGUUGAGUGUACCUUUCGAAUAAGCACCGGCUAACUACGUGCCAGCAGCCGCGGUAAUACGUAGGGUGCAAGCGUUAUCCGGAAUUAUUGGGCGUAAAGGGCUCGUAGGCGGUUCGUCGCGUCCGGUGUGAAAGUCCAUCGCUUAACGGUGGAUCCGCGCCGGGUACGGGCGGGCUUGAGUGCGGUAGGGGAGACUGGAAUUCCCGGUGUAACGGUGGAAUGUGUAGAUAUCGGGAAGAACACCAAUGGCGAAGGCAGGUCUCUGGGCCGUUACUGACGCUGAGGAGCGAAAGCGUGGGGAGCGAACAGGAUUAGAUACCCUGGUAGUCCACGCCGUAAACGGUGGAUGCUGGAUGUGGGGCCCGUUCCACGGGUUCCGUGUCGGAGCUAACGCGUUAAGCAUCCCGCCUGGGGAGUACGGCCGCAAGGCUAAAACUCAAAGAAAUUGACGGGGGCCCGCACAAGCGGCGGAGCAUGCGGAUUAAUUCGAUGCAACGCGAAGAACCUUACCUGGGCUUGACAUGUUCCCGACGAUCCCAGAGAUGGGGUUUCCCUUCGGGGCGGGUUCACAGGUGGUGCAUGGUCGUCGUCAGCUCGUGUCGUGAGAUGUUGGGUUAAGUCCCGCAACGAGCGCAACCCUCGCCC